AGAGUUUGAUCCUGGCUCAGGAUGAACGCUGGCGGCGUGCUUAACACAUGCAAGUCGAACGAAGCACCUUAUUCUGAUUUCUUCGGAAUGAAAAAUUUGGUGACUGAGUGGCGGACGGGUGAGUAACGCGUGGGUAACCUGCCUCAUACAGGGGGAUAACAGUUAGAAAUGACUGCUAAUACCGCAUAAGACCACAGCACCGCAUGGUACAGGGGUAAAAACUCCGGUGGUAUGAGAUGGACCUGCGUCUGAUUAGGUAGUUGGUGGGGUAACGGCCUACCAAGCCGACGAUCAGUAGCCGACCUGAGAGGGUGACCGGCCACAUUGGGACUGAGACACGGCCCAAACUCCUACGGGAGGCAGCAGUGGGGAAUAUUGCACAAUGGGGGAAACCCUGAUGCAGCGACGCCGCGUGAGUGAUGAAGUAUUUCGGUAUGUAAAGCUCUAUCAGCAGGGAAGAAAAUGACGGUACCUGACUAAGAAGCACCGGCUAAAUACGUGCCAGCAGCCGCGGUAAUACGUAUGGUGCAAGCGUUAUCCGGAUUUACUGGGUGUAAAGGGAGCGUAGACGGAGUGGCAAGUCUGAUGUGAAAACCCGGGGCUUAACCCCGGGACUGCAUUGGAAACUGUCAAUCUAGAGUACCGGAGAGGUAAGCGGAAUUCCUAGUGUAGCGGUGAAAUGCGUAGAUAUUAGGAGGAACACCAGUGGCGAAGGCGGCUUACUGGACGGUAACUGACGUUGAGGCUCGAAAGCGUGGGGAGCAAACAGGAUUAGAUACCCUGGUAGUCCACGCCGUAAACG
rnacentral:rRNA from 1 species